rnacentral:rRNA from 1 species
CGGCGGACGGGUGAGUAACGCGUGGGUAACCUACCCUGUACACACGGAUAACAUACCGAAAGGUAUGCUAAUACGGGAUAAUAUAUUUGAGAGGCAUCUCUUGAAUAUCAAAGGUGAGCCAGUACAGGAUGGACCCGUGUCUGAUUAGCUAGUUGGUAAGGUAACGGCUUACCAAGGCGACGAUCAGUAGCCGACCUGAGAGGGUGAUCGGCCACAUUGGAACUGAGACACGGUCCAA